UACGUAGGGUGCAGGCGUUAAUCGGAAUUACUGGGCGUAAAGCGUGCGCAGGCGGUUUGCUAAGACAGGUGUGAAAUCCCCGGGCUUAACCUGGGAACUGCGCUUGUAACUGGCAAGCUAGAGUGUGGCAGAGGGGGGUGGAAUUCCACGUGUAGCAGUGAAAUGCGUAGAGAUGUGGAGGAACACCGAUGGCGAAGGCAGCCCCCUGGGCUAACACUGACGCUGAGACGCGAAAGCGUGGGGAGCAAACAGG
rnacentral:rRNA from 1 species